rnacentral:lncRNA from 1 species
CUGAACUUUUUUUUGAAAGGAACAUAAUAAAUUCCAAUAAGUUAUGAAGGGGACGCAAGACGACAGUCUAUAUUAGAACAUGCGUAGUAACAAAAAAUAAACCAUAGCAAAGAAGCUGCAAGUCAACAAAGAUUCAUAGUUUCAUACUUAUGGGCAGAUAACUAAACUUCUUUACUAAAUAUAACCAUAUUGGGCGUAUAAAAUAGACAGAUUCUACUGCAAAUUUAUCGAGAGGGGACGAUACUGGAGAGCUCCAUCAUCGAAGACCUGGUUGCUGGCCAUGUUGUAGGGAGGAGAUGCAAAGCACAUCAAAUAAGCAAGCCAAUAAUCAAGGAAACCUGACACCGAGGACCACCAAUGAUGUUGCACGACUGGUCCGCCUAUUGGGAAUCGACGACCGCCCACCAAAGUGGAAAAAAUGGAGUCCUAAGAAAAUGCAGUUACAGAGUGUUAAAUACAAGAAUAGAACCACAAGUAAGCAUAUACUGUAAAAUGUAGAUAACCAUUUUUGACAAAAGGUUGAUCCCUACUUUAACAAAAGAGAUAGUUUGCUGGGUACCAGCUCUUACAGGAACUCCUAAACAGAACAUAACAAGUGCAACCCAUGGUAAAAAAAACUCCUCAUUUGGCAAAACAUAGUUAAUAACCAAGGAACAACUACACGUAGCAAGUAAUAUCCAUCAAAUAGAAAAAUAGUUACAGAAGGAUGGGAGCCUAAGAAAAAAAAGAAAAUAUAGCAUCAUGACUCGCAGUGAUUGCAAUGAUCUUCGGUACAGUUCUGAGGUUGAUAUGGAUCCCUAUAGAGCCAAUGGCUGGGAAAUUAAUAUGUAUACAAUUAUGUUUGUUUCAAAAAUGUGCCAAAACAGAUGAUAAAGAGGUAAGCUCCAGUAGAAAUAACUCGAUAAAUGAUUCCUGUUUUAGUAGUAAAUAGUUGAUGUAUGCAUUCUAGUCUGGUAGCAACAAAUGCCUUGCUUGACCAGAAGAAAAAAGAUCCAUUCUAUGAUGGAUAAGAAAUUAUGCCUUGGCCACAUGCAGAAAGUAAGCCAAGUUUUUCAUUUUAUUUUACAUGAAACGUUGCAUAUCUAGUCAUUGGUUAGUAAUAUAGCUAAGCACAUUACAUGCCAACAUUGUAUUGUAGCAAAAGCAACUUCAGAAUAUCAACCUCUAAUAGACAAAUGCUUAUAAGUAGACCCUCCCAAACAAGCUGAAUGUAUUUCUGAAGGAAAUAAAAAAGGCUGAAUGGAGGAAAUUUCUAUCAGAAAUUAGGGCCUAAUAGUUAUGAGACAACAGCACGGGUAGUAAGCCCAUAAUAUGCAUUAGCUAGAAGAUUUACCUUUGACAACAGAGAUCUGAUACAGAACUUGCAUAUACUAGGUUUGGAGCUACACAAAUUAAAACUGGACCACAGGAUCUCAAAUGAGAAAAGUAAUACAAUCUAAACUCAUGGAUUCAGGCUUGAGCUCGCCUUAGGCCAUAGCAGGCUACAACACGAACACAAAAAACAAUGGUUAAACCAUUGUUUUCUAAAAACAGAAAUUAGAACAAAUCAGCAAGAACCAAAGUGGACUGAAAUAU